GCACGAUAACAACAAUAUUCUAAGGUGUUCAACACCUAUAAUCAGUGAGCCACAAACUAAGAUUACAACACAAUAACAAGAACAAAAAUGACACAACAAGGUCUCGGGUUUGGACACCCAAAACCGAGAAUGAACACAACAACAAUAAUAAGAUAGAAUGAUAGAUAACUUGACACACAAUGCACAAACACUAUGAACCAAAGUGUAUAUUGAACACUAAGACCCAAGAAUUCAUACAAAUAACAUCAAGUUCUUA
rnacentral:lncRNA from 1 species